CUGUAUUAUGUCCAGAAAUACACAUCUCUAUGUAAAUACAAGCAUCUCCGUGUGUAGCAGGCAUUUAGCCUAAGGGCCUCCUAUACUUGCACGUGUUGUUCUCCAACCUCCAUGCCUUGACUUUAGCGCGUAUUACGAAGGAAGGUCCAGGAACAAAUACUGACUAGCUCUACGAAUGGGUCGAGACUAGUAAUGACUCAGUAAACUGCGCUCAUUACAGUUUCAAAGCCACUCACAAAGUACGGUUAACUAAGGGUCGUCCUGACACCUAAGGGAUAAUCACCUUCCUAUUUAUAAAACGCUCCCUUUUAAGGAAAACAAGCUGCCUAAGAGCCUGAAACCGCCAAGGCCGCACGCACAACUUUGCUGGGGACACAAGAGAGAUCUGGCCAAGACCGGGUGGAGCACGAAGCCUCCCGACGGUCCCUUGCAGGCACCUCCUUAAGUCAGAAGGCCCUUGCCCAGUUUCUGAGCAGAGGACAGCGAACCGGUGUUGACGGAGAAAGGUCAGCUAAGCCUUCCAGGUGGUUACUCACAAAACGCGACUGCGCAAAUGGCUUGUGGGGAAAGCUCGUGGGCCUUGGGGGCACCGGGAGCGUAGCCUUUUGGCCUACGCAGCAGCCGCCCGCUCCGCUGCGCCCGGGGAAGGGACAGGGGCCGCGCUGGGCACCCAUAUGGCGGAGGAACCCGGCACGUAGAGGAGUUGGACCUAAGACCGCGAUCACUCUCACCUCGCAGAGCCCAGCUACGGGCCCGCAGUCUCCGCCGCCGCCACCACACCGGCAUGACUAACGGCUCUUCGCGCUUCUUCCUCCCUCGCCGGUCGCGCGGGAAAGGAAGAGCGACAUCGGAAGACAGCUCUUAGGCACUCCGGUGGCCCCGCCUCUUCCGAAUCCUGACUGCAAAGCACUGGGCUUGAUGCUGGAGCAGAAAGGCUUAUGAUCUUGUUGCCAGAAAGAAUACACAUGAAAGC
rnacentral:lncRNA from 1 species